rnacentral:rRNA from 1 species
UACAGAGGUCCCAAGCGUUGUUCGGAUUCACUGGGCGUAAAGGGUGCGUAGGCGGUCGGAUAAGUCGGGGGUGAAAUCCUGGAGCUCAACUCCAGAACUGCCUUCAAUACUGGCGAUCUUGAGUCCGGAAGAGGUGAGUGGAACUCCUAGUGUAGAGGUGGAAUUCGUAGAUAUUAGGAAGAACACCAGUGGCGAAGGCGGCUCACUGGUCCGGUACUGACGCUGAGGUGCGAAAGCGUGGGGAGCAAACAGG